AGGGUUCGAUUAUGGCUCAGGACGAAUGCUGGCGGUGCGCUUAAUGCAUGCAAGUCGAGCGAAGCUUCAGAUAGCUUGCUAUUUGAAUGACUGAGCGGCGAACGGGUGAGUAACGCGUGAACAAUCUACCUUAAAUAUUAGGAUAACUCAAGGAAACUUGAAUUAAUACUGAAUAAUCUUUCAAAUUCACAUGAAUUAUAAAGCAAAGGCCAGCCGAUUUAAGAUGAGUUCGCGUUCUAUCAGCUUGUUGGUAAGGUAAAGGCUUACCAAGGCAAUGACGGAUAGCUGGUCUGAGAGGACGAUCAGCCACACUGGGACUGAGACACGGCCCAGACUCCUACGGGAGGCUGCAGCAGGGAAUCUUGCGCAAUGAGCGAAAGCUUGACGCAGCGACACCGCGUGUGGGAUGACGGAUCUAGGUUUGUAAACCACUUUCAGGAGGGAAGAAAUUGACGGUACCUCCACAAGAAGCCCCGGCCAACUACGUGCCAGCCGCCGCGGUAAUAC
rnacentral:rRNA from 1 species